rnacentral:lncRNA from 10 species
AUGAAUAAUCAUUUUCCAAACUGGAUACACGUGCACACCUCCUUUAAAAACAGUGUUUUCUCAACCUUGAUUGAAAAUGGAGUCACAUCUGGAAGCUUUAAAAACUGCCAGUGCUCGAGUUCCUUUCCCAGAGAUUUCCCUGGCAUGGGUUGCAGCCAUUGGAGAUUUUUGAAGCUCUUCAGGGAGAAAGAGCAAGAAACACAAGAAGAGGAACGUUUGAUGGAAGAAAAGAAAAAGAAAAAGCAGGAAGAAAAGAAAAAGAAGGAAGGUGCUCAGAAAAAGGCUGCUGAUCAAAAAACCAAAGUUCUACAUCUUCACCAAUGCGUGGUAUGGUCAUCUUCAUAAUUUUCGCCAUUCUAAUAGGUAUGUAGUGGUAUCUCAUUACACUUUUAAUUGGCAUUAACCUAAUGACUAAUGAUGUUGCACCUUAUUUUCAUGUGCUUAUUUGUCAUCUGUACAUCUUUCUUGGUGAAGCGUCUUUUGAAGUCUUUUGCCCAUUUUUCAUUGUUAUUUAUUUUCUUUUUCCAGAUUGGUUUCUGAUAGUAAAUUGGCCUCUAGAGUUGGGCAGAAAGACUCAUCACUACAGCUUAGUUGUCUGCAUGCCUCAGUCAUUUCCCUUCUUUCUGUGUGUGUAGUUACUUGUAAAUAGUAAUACCAGAAAAUAUGCACUUUCAAAGAGAAUCAUAUUUUAUCUAGCUUUUAGCAUAACUAAAGAUUACAUUAAUAAAUGAGCUAAAUAUUAGUCACAUUUUGCCACCUAGAGAUGGCUAGUUAAUUCAUUAAUUAACUUAAACAGUUAAUAAAUACCUGUUAGAUGGCAGAGAUCAGUUCCCUGUUCUCAAAGAAGAAAACCACAGACACUGGGGUCUACUUAAGGGUGGAGGGUGGAAGGAGGGAGAGGAGCAGAAAGGAUCGCUGUUGGGCACUGGGCUUAAUCCCUGGGUGAUGAAAUAAUCUGUACAUUAAGCCCCCAUGACAUGAGUUUACCUGUGUAACACACCUUCAUAUGUACCUCCUAACCUAAAAUAAAAGCUUUUUUUAAAAAGUUCCCUGUUCUCAAAGAGAUAUUUUAGUGGGAAGAGCCAGGCAGAUAAGCAAAUUUAUGUAUAUGCAAAUGAAUGCAAUAAAAUGUUCUGACAUUGUAACUUCUUUAUCUCAGCCAGGUAUCAGUAGGUCAGUAUAAGCAUUUCAUGGCCAGUGGCGGGUAGGGGAACAGAUGCUUCCAGGUGUGAGAAGUCAGGCUCUAAGGAAAGUACAAAAAGGAAAUUUUACAAUGUUGGCAGCAGAGGAGCUGCUGAGUGAGGUGGCAGCCGGUGCAGUGAGGACCCAGCAGAUGGUCAGUGAGGUUGAUUGUGAUUUAUUUAUCUCACUCUUUCUACCUGAAAGGAUUUAGGUUUGGUCAUCUUUUCAUCAAAUAUUUGUAUCUCUAUAAGAAAAUACACCUAUUUGUAAAAGUAAGUGAGAAUUGGAAAAGGAAAAUACUGAUACGAAUGAGUUAAGUGCAUACUAGAGCUGGGCCACUCCCAGUUGUGCCCUAAAUUUGCUAUGAAAGCAAGGACAAGGAAGGGUUGCCUUAUCCCAGUCAUCUUAAACCCAUCCAGUAGGUCAUUAAAACUGAGCACCCUUACCAAGCUGUUCUACCCCAGAAAAGAGUUGAAACUGUUUUUCAGCUCUUUUGAGAGAGGUGGAAGGUGGGAAGCUGGCUCAUACAGUCCUUGAACACCUUCCUAAGGACUUUAGAUGAUCUUGUAGACCAGAGUGGGAGCAGUUGGAGAGUUUUAAGUGGGAGAGUGACAUCAUGAGAUUUGUGCUUUAGAAAGAUCACUGAACAUGCAGAAUUGAAGAUGAAUUAAACAGGAGGAGAGAGAGGGCUGGAGGCAGCAGGUGCAGUUAGACCAGUGCACAGUUCAGACUCCAGCUGACUAGCUAAGUGGCAGGGGUAGACAGGGAAGGGUAGUGAUGAUUGAUAGAAUAGGCAGAACUUAGAAACUAAGUGGGCUAACUAAUCAUUUGUUCCAGCAGAUAUUUAUUGAGCACCUACUAUUUGCUUGGUACUGUGCUGAUUGGCUGAUUGCUAUGGGAAGAAAAAAUAGAGAUACACUUCCCACUCUCAUGGAGCUGAGUCUUAUGAGGAAUGGGCAUAAAUCUCAACCACAGUGAUACAUGUAUCCUUACUAACUGGGAUGGUGACUGUGUGACAGCAUCAACAAAGGAGCCCAAACUUGGCAGGAGUUGUGGAAGGCAUCCCUGGGUAAUGCAACAUGGAAUCUGAAGGGUGAACAGGACCCAACUAGGCCAGGGAACACUCCUACAUAGAGAGGGAACAGCAUUUGUAAAGAGCCUGUGGCCGGAUGGAGUAUGACAUUUUCCAUGAACUAAACAAACAGGAAGCUGUGAAAUAGGGUAUGAAGUGAGGCCAAAGCGAGAGAUGGGGAUUGGUCUACCAUGCGAGGCAUCAAAGAGGAGUUGCGCUCUUUUGCCUAAGAGAAUAAGAAGGCUUUGCCGGGCGCGGUGGCUCAAGCCUGUAAUCCCAG